UGGUUCCUACGGGAGGCAGCAGUAGGGAAUUUUCGUCAAUGGGCGCAAGCCUGAACGAGCAAUGCCGCGUGAACGAGGAAGGGCUUCGGAUCGGAAAGUUCUGUUGAAGGGGAAAAAGAGCGGAGAGAGGAAAUGAACUCCGAUUGAUAUUACCCUUCGAGGAAGUCACGGCUAACUACGUGCCAGCAGCCGCGGUAAUACGUAGGUGGCGAGCGUUAUCCGGAAUGAUUGGGCGUAAAGGGUGCGUAGGCGGCCGGCUAAGUCUGGAGUGAAAGGCACCGGCUCAACCGGUACAGGCUGUGGAA
rnacentral:rRNA from 1 species